AACUGAGCUCUUCUUCUGUCCCUUGCCCUUCUAGCAGCUUCCUCUCGGCGAAAAUCCUAACUUCGCCAAAGAACAAACUACCCAUAGAGUUGGGUUCAAAGGAAGUUAGGAUCCCUUCGGAGAUCCUGGAGGAGGGGGCGGCCCGGAGUCUCGAUACAGAGAGGUACCUCCUUCCCAGGUUCAGGUGCACAUGGCAGAGGUCUGUCCAGGCAACUCGGGAGGCUCAGCUCCAUUAUUUUCCAUCAUUAGUUGGAUUCAGAAUGCUGUGAAUGUAACUUUCCAUGGAUUCCUUUGGGGAGGGAGACCCAAACCGCCCAGGACCUGCAACUCUGCUUGGAUUAUAUGAGUCUGGGGAAAGCAGAUAAUCUGGGAUCAGAUCCUGGGGUAUAGGGCAGUGUAGAUCCAACCUGAAUCUGUACUGAACAUAUAAUACAGUUCAAAUUGCAUGAAAUGACAGUGUAGAUACAGCUGUCGGCCCCAUCUAAACUGCCAUAUAAUCCAGUUUCAGAAUGCAUAUUAACCAUGGUUCAAAAUGGAUUAUAUGGCAGUUUAGACAGGGCCUAAGAGUAAGAAGUGAGAGAAGAUGACAGUGCUACAGUGUAGGGGAGAUCUACACUGUCCUAUUUCAUAGGAUCUGAUCCCAGAUUAUCUGCUUUAAACUGGAUUAUAAGAGUCUACACUGCCAAAUAAUCUGGUUUCAGAUCUUGGGAUAAGGGGCCGUGUGGAAGGGACCAUAGUUGGUGCAGAGGGUUUCCAAGGCCCUCCUCCCUCCACUACAAAUCCUAGGGCUCUCAGCCCAACGUUGGAGAAGAACCGUCCUUGAACAGUACAGAGAGAGUAUCCCAUAUGCUCUGUUUAGCUUAUAUGAUUGAAUCGUCUAAUAUUGUAAUAUUUAAUAUCUGUUCUGAUUGAAUAAACAUGCUCCUUUCUUUUUAAUUUGGUGCUUUCCUUGGAUUCCUUUGGGGAGGGGGAGGGUAACUCAAACCACCCAGGAUCUACAACUCAGGCCCCAUCUACAUCUAUAUAUAUAAAAUGAUAAAGUUGUUUGCGCAGUGACUAUAACAACAAAACUAAACAUCCCAGAAAUACGAAAUUUGGCAACACAAUGCAAAAGGCUUGCCUCCAGGUUACAACAACACAACCACACCACAAAACCACAAUCCAGACCCACAAAACUCACAACAACGCAUCAUGCGAUAACAACACAACUAAACGCCCCAGAAAUACAAAACUUGGCAACACAAUGCAAAAGCCUUGCCUCCCAGUUGUAACAACACAACCAUACCACAAAACCACACAGGACCCACAAAACUCACAACAACGCAUCGUGACUAUAACAACACAACUAAACACCCCGUAAAUACGAAACUUGGCAACACAACGCAAAAGCCUUCCCUCCAGGUUGUAACAA